UGUGGGUAGGGGUGAAAGGCCAAUCAAACUCGGAAAUAGCUCGUACUCCCCGAAAUGCAUUUAGGUGCAGCGUUGAUAUAGAGUCUUAUAGAGGUAGAGCUACUGAUUGGGCUAGGGGGCUUCACCGCCUACCAAACCCUGACAAACUCCGAAUGCUAUAAGAUAUGAUCAGCAGUGAGGGCAUGGGUGCUAAGGUCCAUGUCCGAAAGGGAAAGAACCCAGAUCAUCAGCUAAGGUCCCCAAAUGUGUGUUAAGUUGACAAAACGCGGUCAGAUUGCAUAGACAGCUAGGAUGUUGGCUUGGAAGCAGCCAUUCAUUUAAAGA
rnacentral:rRNA from 1 species